GACGAACGCUGGCGGCGUGCUUAACACAUGCAAGUCGAACGGAAAGGCCCUGCUUUUGUGGGGUGCUCGAGUGGCGAACGGGUGAGUAACACGUGAGUAACCUGCCCUUGACUUUGGGAUAACUUCAGGAAACUGGGGCUAAUACCGGAUAGGAGCUCCUGCUGCAAGGUGGGGGUUGGAAAGUUUCGGCGGUUGGGGAUGGACUCGCGGCUUAUCAGCUUGUUGGUGGGGUAGUGGCUUACCAAGGCUUUGACGGGUAGCCGGCCUGAGAGGUGACCGGCCACAUUGGGACUGAGAUACGGCCCAGACUCCUACGGGAGGCAGCAGUGGGGAAUAUUGCACAAUGGGCGGAAGCCUGAUGCAGCAACGCCGCGUGCGGGAUGACGGCCUUCGGGUUGUAAACCGCUUUCGCCUGUGACGAAGCGUGAGUGACGGUAAUGGGUAAAGAAGCACCGGCUAACUACGUG
rnacentral:rRNA from 1 species